rnacentral:rRNA from 1 species
UGGGGAAUUUUGGACAAUGGGCGAAAGCCUGAUCCAGCAAUGCCGCGUGUGUGAAGAAGGCCUUCGGGUUGUAAAGCACUUUUGUCCGGAAAGAAAUCCUUGGCUCUAAUACAGUCGGGGGAUGACGGUACCGGAAGAAUAAGCACCGGCUAACUACGUGCCAGCAGCCGCGGUAAUACGUAGGGUGCAAGCGUUAAUCGGAAUUACUGGGCGUAAAGCGUGCGCAGGCGGUUUGCUAAGACCGAUGUGAAAUCCCCGGGCUCAACCUGGGAACUGCAUUGGUGACUGGCAGGCUAGAGUAUGGCAGAGGGGGGUAGAAUUCCACGUGUAGCAGUGAAAAUGCGUAGAGAUGUGGAGGAAUACCGAUGGCGAAGGCAGCCCCCUGGGGCCAAUACUGACGCUCAUGCACGAAAGCGUGGGGAGCAAACAGGAUUAGAUACCCUGGUAGUCCACGCCCUAAACGAUGUCAACUAGUUGUUGGGGAUUCAUUUUCCUUAGUAACGUAGCUAACGCGUGAAGUUGACCGCCUGGGGAGUACGGUCGCAAGAUUAAAACUUAAAUGAAUUGACGGGGUCAUAGCUGUUUCCU